UUAUUUGCAUAAUUUGAAAGUGGAUCUUGAAAGAGGAUCUUAAAAGAAUCUAAAUAUAUCUCUAUUUCCAAACAUACGUGCAAAUGUAUUAAGAAAGUUUCAAAUCUCACACACACAUGCUUGAUCAAACUGGUAAAGGCAGUGUAAGACACCGAUCACUUGCCUGUGCAGAUCUUGUCCACUUUCAGCAUCAUGGCUCCUCGGUCCAGCGCCUGCCUGCGAAACACACCGCAGAAAGUGCAGUUAUUCUUCAGUCCCACCUGCUUCACGAUGG